rnacentral:rRNA from 1 species
CCUACGGGGUGCAGCAGUGGGGGAUAUUGCACAAUGGGGGAAACCCUGAUGCAGCGACGCCGCGUGGGUGAAGAAGUAUUUCGGUAUGUAAAGCCCUAUCAGCAGGGAAGAAAGAAGACGGUACCUGACUAAGAAGCCCCGGCUAACUACGUGCCAGCAGCCGCGGUAAUACGUAGGGGGCGAGCGUUAUCCGGAUUCACUGGGUGUAAAGGGAGCGUAGACGGCCGUGCAAGCCAGGAGUGAAAGCCCGGGGCCCAACCCCGGGACUGCUCUUGGAACUGUGCGGCUGGAGUGCGGGAGGGGCAGGCGGAAUUCCUGGUGUAGCGGUGAAAUGCGUAGAUAUCAGGAGGAACACCGGCGGCGAAGGCGGCCUGCUGGACCGCGACUGACGUUGAGGCUCGAAAGCGUGGGGAGCGAACAGGAUUAGAUACCCGGGUAGUC